rnacentral:lncRNA from 1 species
UUUGGCCCUGGUUUUGAUCCAAGCAAGCCUCUGAAGGAAAAGAGCAAACCCUUUGACUGGAGCCUGCAUUGCUGUGAGAAGUCGGUGUUUAAAAUGUUGUGGCACUGUUUGAGGAGAGGUGGCAGUGAGCUGUCCCCAUUCCAGCAGAGUUAGGGAGUACUGGGAGCAGAAGCCUUGUUCACAGAGGAGAAGACAUCAACCAUCCCUCUCCUGGAAGUGUUUGAAGGGUUUGGCUGACCCCAAACCCUCCAGCUGGAAAGCAGAGCCAGAUGCUGAGAUGAUGAGGCUUCAGAGCCAGAGUGACCUGGGAGAGGUUUCUGCACCUUGAGCGCUGCGGUUGCUCGCCCUCCUCUGCUGCCCUGCAGUGCAGCUUCUCUCUCCCAGCGUAGGGCAAGGAGAAGAGGACUGACCUGGAUGACAAGUGUUAUCUUUCAGGGUUAUCAGGUUAUUUCUUAACCUGUUCUGCAGUUUAAUUACCACUGUGAGCCUCAGGUCAGUGAAAGCUGUGCACAGCACAAGGCUUUUCACUCAGCAGCAGAGGACCCCGAGCACGAGGCCACCAUCACAUGCCUGGCUUGCUUCUGUGCCCAGCCUAGGUGGGAAGAAAGAGUGAGCUGGGCUAAAACGAAGCACAGCAAGCUUUAAAG